rnacentral:tRNA from 1 species
GUUAAGUUGGCAGAAAAGUGCAUUAGACUUAGGAUCUAAAAAUAAGAUUUAUUUCUUACUUAAUA